AGCCGCGUCUUCUGCUAUCUGCCCCCUAUUACUUUCUCUCUCUACAAUUCCACAACUUUUUCCCCAGAAACAAACAAACCCUUCCCUGUUGCAACUCUCCACAUGUAAUAAAAGCCUCUCCAACCAAACGGCGCACGGAUAAAGCUUGACGGAUAACAUUGAGAAAUCCUGUCAGCAUAGUUUAUCCAUUUGCCUCGAUUUAGCAAUUCGAUUUUCUUUUUCUUUCUCUUUCAUUUUGCUCGGAAUUUUUUUUUCCCUGGGGAUAGGGUUAUCUGUAAUUUCAUUUCAUUUCAAAAUGAUGAGACGACAAGAACAGCAGUCGAGGGUUUUCUACGAGCUAUCUACUCUCAUUUUUAACCUCCUCCGAUCUCCUCCUACGCCGAUUUCUUUUUCCGAUGACUCGCCGGUGAUGCCAACACCGCCGCCGGCGGUAUCUUCCUCGAGGAGGCGGCCGCCGCCGUCGGCGCCUCCACAGAUCACGCCGGCGGGUUUUGCGUCGUUGCUUUUGGGGAUAUCGCUGGCUCUAAUGCUAUGUGGAUCGGUCACUUUCUUUAUUGGAUUCAUGUUGAUGCCAUGGGUUCUUGGUUUGGUGAUUGUUUUCUACCUGGUUGGGAUUGUAUCGAGUUUAUCGAUGCUGGGACGAGCAAUUCUUUGUUAUACCACGGCACCCCCCUCGCCGAGGAAGGAAGUUCCAGUGCAUAAAAAGUGGUUCUGAGGUUCCCUUCCCCCAACCCCCGGCACAAAGCGGAACAAAGAAAAAGGAAAAGAAAAGAAUAUUUCAAUGAGCACUUUUCUCUACAUAUACACAGAAAGUGAACAUACUGUGUUUUUUUUAAGAAAUUUGGUCUGAUUAACUCCUUACACUUUCAACUUGGAAUGGUGCAGCGUGGAAAUUUUUGUGAAUGUGUUGAGGGGUGGUUGGAUUACCCAUGGGUGGAGGACCAAGCAGCACUAGUGCUCUUUGUAUAAUGAAUUGUCCAAGCUCCUAAAAGGAUUGAUACAGGAACUAUGGAUGGAUUACAGUUUCUUAAAUUAUUACUGGAACACGUGGAACUUUUUAUAGUUAAUCGAGUAUAAUAGAACUGUUGAAGGUCUCCAAGAAAAGUAAUGUUCCUAUUAGUGAUUACACUUUUAAGAAACAGAAACACACUGUUCUCUGUUUCUACUCCUAUUUUACCUCCCCCCUUCAAUAUGUUAUUGUUUUUGUGCUAAUGGGGAUAUGUAAAACUUAACUAGGCAUUGUAUGUAUAUGUUGUUUGAUCUGAGUAUUUUCUACUUGCUUAGAUUGUUUGAUCCGAGUUCAUUUCGUAAUAAAAAUGCAAGAAAAGAGAAUUCCUUUAUUUACAUUA